GCACAAGCGGUGGAGCAUGUGGUUUAAUUCGAAGCAACGCGAAGAACCUUACCAAAUCUUGACAUCCUUUGACCGCUCUAGAGAUAGAGUCUUCCCCUUCGGGGGACAAAGUGACAGGUGGUGCAUGGUUGUCGUCAGCUCGUGUCGUGAGAUGUUGGGUUAAGUCCCGCAACGAGCGCAACCCUUAAGCUUAGUUGCCAUCAUUAAGUUGGGCACUCUAGGUUGACUGCCGGUGACAAACCGGAGGAAGGUGGGGAUGACGUCAAAUCAUCAUGCCCCUUAUGAUUUGGGCUACACACGUGCUACAAUGGAUAAUACAAAGGGCAGCGAAUCCGCGAGGCCAAGCAAAUCCCAUAAAAUUAUUCUCAGUUCGGAUUGUAGUCUGCAACUCGACUACAUGAAGCUGGAA
rnacentral:rRNA from 1 species